rnacentral:rRNA from 1 species
UGCCCAAAGGUACGGAAUNGCUNNNGGANACUGGAANUAAUACCGUAUGUGCCCUUCGGGGGAAAGAUUUAUCGCCUUUGGAUCAACCCGCGUCUGAUUAGCUAGUUGGUGAGGUAAAGGCUCACCAAGGCGACGAUCAGUAGCUGNUCUGAGAGGAUGAUCAGCCACACUGGGACUGAGACACGGCCCAGACUCCUACGGGAGGCAGCAGUGGGGAAUAUUGGACAAUGGGCGCAAGCCUGAUCCAGCCAUGCCGCGUGAGUGAUGAAGGCCUUAGGGUUGUAAAGCUNUUUCGCCGGUGAAGAUAAUGACGGUAACCGGAGAAGAAGCCCCGGCUAACUUCGUGCCAGCAGCCGCGGUAAUACGAAGGGGGCUAGCGUUGCNNGGAAUCACUGGGCGUAAAGCGCACGUAGGCGGGUCGUUAAGUCAGGGGUGAAAUCCUGGAGCUCAACUCCAGAACUGCCCUUGAUACUGGCGAUCUUGAGUUCGAGAGAGGUUGGUGGAACUGCGAGUGUAGAGGUGAAAUUCGUAGAUAUUCGCAAGAACACCAGUGGCGAANGCGGCCAACUGGCUCGAUACU